UACGUAGGUGGCAAGCGUUGUCCGGAUUUACUGGGCGUAAAGGAUGCGUAGGCGGAUGUUUAAGUGAGAUGUGAAAUACCCGAGCUCAACUUGGGUGCUGCAUUUCAAACUGGAUUAUCUGAGAGUGCAGGAGAGGAAAGCGGAAUUCCUAGUGUAGCGGUGAAAUGCGUAGAGAUUAGGAAGAACACCAGUGGCGAAGGCGGCUUUCGUGGACUGGUAACUGACGACUGAGGCUGAGGCAAA
rnacentral:rRNA from 1 species